rnacentral:lncRNA from 1 species
UCCUGAGGGAAGGGGCGUUCCCAGAGUUGGAUGCCCAGACCUGGGACGUGAGGCGCAGAGAGAUCUACGUCCCCUUCCCUGGCAUUUUUUUCUUCUACAGGGGAUGUGAGGAGUUCCCUAGUGUCCUAUAGGUUAAGGGUCCAGUGUUGGAUCCCUGCUGUGGUGCAGAUUCAAGCCCUGGGCUGGGAACUUCAGCAUGCCCUGGGAGUGGUGAAAAUCAGUCAGUCGAUCAGUCAGUGGGAUUGACCUCAGACCAUUCUGCAUGGUCAUUAUCUUGGUUGUCUCCGCUCCCAAGAGGCAUUUUCACACAAACCCUGUGUGGGGAGGUAACGGUUGGAAGUGCACCCCAAAGAGCAAGAUCUCUCUAAGUAGAACUUGGAUGCUGGAGGCUCUGCUGGGCAGGUGGGGAUUGUGGGCAUUGAGGGCUUGGCCUGGGAGUCAGCUGUUGGUCAUUUCCCUGUGGUCUUCUGCAAUCAGUAUAUCACUCGUUCUCUCUGUUGUCAUGUAUUUUCCAGACUGUUGCUUUGGGAGCAAAGGAUCGUGCUUCAAAAGUCUGAGGACAAGUUUGUCCUCUGCGAGCUUGGCUAGAAUAAUUCCCCGGUGGCCACACAACAGGGUGCACCUUGCCACUGAGCCAGAUGAAGCAACGCACGCCGACGAUGUUGUGGAGGCCGGUGGGAGUGAGAAGACCGAGGCAAAGCCCCGGGCUGGGGGACAUGAGGACGAGGCGGCCCCAGUACCUGAGGUGGAGGUGGAGGAGGAGGCGGGCCAGCCCCGUGAAAAUGGCCAGGAGGAGUCCUUAGCCAUCGCCUGGGCUGAGCCGGAAGACGAGCCUGGCCCCAAGGUGGACGGGGCGGACGAUGAAAUCUCUUGGAGCUUGGAGAGUGUGUGUGAGAGCGACCUCGCUGACAGCAACCUCGCAGAAAGUGAUCGAGACUCGGUGGCGGAGCGCACCGACUGCCGCCAGGAUGAGGAGGCUGCAGACUCCACUGGGACACCUUAAAGCCUCAGCCUGGGACUGGAAGAGUCCAAACGUUUCCAUCUUGACCAGGAAACAAGAUCGACCUCACUCUUCAUCUAUUACGAGCCAACUUUAGUAUAAGUUUGGUUCUUUAUUGUCUAGAUUUAGUAUUAAAUUCUCAUACAUGUUUACUACUUGGUAUGCAAAAUUUGUGUAUUAAAUAAUCCUUACCUAUCUAUUUGCUUUUAAACUAGUUUUCGGUAAAAUAAACACAUGUAUAGGAGAGCCCCUUAAGCAGAGGUAGAACUUAAUGCACUGGCGUCAGGCAGUCACCCUAGUGUCCACCACCAGGAUCACCCCCUGUCCUGUCACCCGCAUCAGUCCUGUCUGAAGAAGGGGACUGUGGAUUUAGUCCUGACCAUCUGCCCUCAGGCCAGUUACUUUCCAGGGAUUCUGUGGCCUCACGUCGGUUUGUACCUUUGACCAUGGGACCUCUGUCACACUCCCUCUUUCAGGAUGACAUGGAUGGCCAGGCCUUGCAUGCCCAGACCCUGGCUGCUGGAACAUCCCUAACUCACCCUCUCUCCUCGUGUCUCUAACAUGUUUCUUUACAUCCCGUGCCUCGAGACGGUAUUUUUAAACCAUAUAGAGUGACACCGAAUGGGGCACAGAUAAAACUGUAAAAGCAAUUUUAAUAAAGUACACUUUGAUUGCAAAGCAAGUGUGUUUUGUGUUAAUGGAUCCCUUGGGAGGAUAAAGAAUGGCAUACCCAAGUAUGGAAGGCAGAGAUAGGAAACAUGAGAGAAGGCAUGAACGUGCAGAUUUUUCGGCAAAGGCCAAGAGAAACAUUUCUUUGUCCACAGAAGGAAGAUGUGGUGCUGCAGAAUUGGGUGGCAAGAGUAUUUUCUCUAUUCCAAAAUCUGAGCGUGAAUGAAUCCCAAGGUUAACACUUUUCCCUUCUCCACAGUGCGUUGUCACACCUUUCUAUUGUCCACACAUGCUCGUGCUGUGCUCUCCCUGCCUUGUGAGACUCCAGGUUCUGCAUGAUCAGGGUUGCUCCUGAAACAACAGAGAGAAAGAAAGCCCAGCUGUCUUUGCCUUGGCUUCCCAACCCCCUCGGGCUCUCCUGGACCUCCUGGCAUUCCGUGUCUAAAGAUUCUCCUUGUGGGAAGCUGAGUCCUGGUCAUUCAGAUGGGACGUGGGACGGCCGAGCUGGGUUCACCCCUGGGAACAGACCUUGCGCGCUUCCCCAGGUUGUAACGCGCAUCCUGGCCCCAACCCCACCUACCCCCAUGCUCCAGUGCUUCUACUGGGUGACCACAAAAAGAGGAGGGUGUUUCCUCCAGUCCACCAGCAUCAAGAACAGAAGAGACAGAGACCGAAAGGAAGAGAGACAGAGAGAGAGACAGGGCGGAGCAUAAAACGGGGAGAAAGGGGAAAGAAAAGAGAAAGACACCAAAAGAAUUCAGAGAGAAAGAAGAGAGACAGUUGACGUAGCGGCCUUAACAGCGGGCUCAAGUCACGUCUAGUGACCAAAGCUGUCACAGCUCUGAGCUAUUCAAGGUGAUUUUCGUCCUGGUGAAGCAUCUCCCCUGCAGAAGCCAUUCUGAAGUUGGCAGAGGGGUUGAGGGGCCCACAGCUCCUGGGGUCCCUGCCAGGCCAAUUAGGUCAGGUUCUCACCCAGAUUUCCAGAGAUACUCACCCAGCGUCUGAUGGGGACACAUUCCAUCCAAAAAGAUGUGCUCCCAAGCCACGCUGCCUGAAGAGCCCCAAGAAGGGAACCAAGACACCUGCCUUUCAUGUUCUGAAGGCUGGGAACCAGACAGCUAUCAGCAGGAUACUCCUAGGGUGGACUGCCCUAAUGCAGUCGGGGCAAGGCAGGAAGCAUGGCUGAGAGCUAAAAGAAGAGCUGUUGGCUGAAGCAAAAGGAAACUCCAAUAAGGUGUGAAGUACAGUGAUAGAGCCCCAGGCCCCGAGAUCAACAGAGACCGGACGUACGGAGUUCCCUCUGCCUCCCACAGCAGAACCUUGGUCUGCACUGGCCUGGGGCACCUGCCGGUGUGAGGUACCUGCUCCUCUCAGUGCCCUGAAAUGAAUGCCAGUUGCAAAGUCGGCCGGGGCUCUCACCCCACCUGACACCACCCUACACCCUGAAAUCAGCAACCCCGCUUUUUAAGUCAAGUGAGCAGGCUUUGAAUCAUCAGCACCCUUCAGACCUGGGACCCAGACUGAAAUCAAGGACCACCCAGCUUGUAUCCACAUGACCUGGAUUCAGGUAGCUUCCUUCUAACGAGGAUGCCACAGAGGAGGAAGAGGCUCAGAUGGAGAAGGAAGAAGGAGAGUGUGGAGCUCUCUGGAGAGAAAGGGCACAGGGAUGAGCACAGCCUGCCCCAAAGUACUACCACACAGAUACACUGCGCUCACGACCAGAAGCCAAACUCCACGCCAGCCUGAUUUGAGAAAGCUGCACAGCCAGGAUUCAAGCCAGGUACAUCUGGACCAAGAAUGCUGCCUCCAAACCAUCGAAGGGCACUCAGAGCCCCCAGACAGCCUGCCCAACUCUCUAGCCACUGGGCCGCCCAACCAGACAGGAAUCGAACCUCAGGUGUGAAAGUGGAACUAUGUCCCCUCUCUGAGUUGAGGUAAAGUGAGCCAGAGGUUCAGAGGCUCCAUGUACCCAGGUGCAAGGCCCUGGGCACCUCCAAGGGGUUCAACCAACCUGUCUCCAACCCCAUCUCUGAGCCUGAAGGCGCAGCCAGCAAGCUGCAGAGGGUCUCUGCUGGUGUCUGGCACUAUCUGGUGGCCAUGUGCUCUGACACCAACGCUCUGCUUUUCCUACUGUUUCCUAAUACAGCCCCCCUGUCCCACUGGCCUGGGGCACUUGCCAGUGUGACUUCCUUCACCCUCUCCCUCUCGGUGCACUGAAAGGCAUUGCAGUCGGGGAUAAGCCUAUGUCAAAGUUUCCCAGGACUCUCUCCCCACUCGACACCACCCCACUCCCUGAAAUCAGUGACCCUGCCUUUUUUUUUUUUUUUAAUUUUUUAAUGCAGUGCCUGUGGCAUAUGGAGGUUCCCAGGCCAGGGGUUGAAUCAGAGCCAUAGCCACUGGCCUAUGCCACAGCCACCGAAAUGCCAGAUCCAAAACACAUCUGCGACCAACAGCACAGCUCAUGGCAAUGCAGGAUCUUUAACCCACUGAUGGAGGCCAGGGAUUGAACCUGCACCCUCAUAGAUACUAGUCAAAUUUGUUUCUGCUGAGCCACAACAGGAACUUCCCAGGAAUAUGUUUUUAAAAGCAGCGUAUGCACUAGAAAAGAGAGAUAGCCGUGCAAAAAUAUCGAUACGAUCCUCUUUAUAGAUGGUGUGCUGGCCUCCCAUGAGCCUCAGCAGGAAUGUCACGUUUGCUGAAGAUAAGAGUUCAGUGAGGCUUCUGUGCUGGUACCUGAUCUCUCCGAAGUCUCCAUAUUUUUGAAACCAAAACACCUCUAACUCAAACCCAGCCUAACUAAACCCUGAUUGGGACUUGGACCCACCGUUUUUCAAUCAGAAUCACUCACCUGGUGUCUGGACUUACUGAGGCUCAGGUUCUUUGUGAUUCAGCACAGAGGGAAUUCAGCAAGAGACAAAGGGAUAGGCAAGAAGUAGAUUUAGUAAGAUAGGACACUUGUGAGAGAUACA